rnacentral:rRNA from 1 species
UACAGAGGUCUCAAGCGUUGUUCGGAUUCAUUGGGCGUAAAGGGUGCGUAGGCGGCGCGGUAAGUCGGGUGUGAAAUCUCGGAGCUUAACUCCGAAACUGCAUUCGAUACUACCGUGCUUGAGGACUGGAGAGGAGACUGGAAUUUACGGUGUAGCGGUGAAAUGCGUAGAUAUCGUAAGGAAGACCAGUGGCGAAGGCGGGUCUCUGGACAGUUCCUGACGCUGAGGCACGAAGGUCCAGGGGAGCAAACGGG